rnacentral:lncRNA from 10 species
AGUUACACAUAUUUGGAAGAACACAUUAUUUCAGAAUUUUGUGAAGCUGUACGGAUGGUCUCCAGUACAACAUUGAAAAGAAGUGGUGAGAGAGCUAACAUCCUUGCCUUGUUCCUGAGUUUAUAAAGAGUUUCUAGAUGCAAACACACACACACACAAAAGUGUGCUUCCAGAAGAUGCUGCUGGGAAGGCCACUGCAUCCCUAGGGAGCCAAAUCAAAGCAUUUUGUCCUAAUGUGUCCGGAAUUGGUGGGUUCUUGGUCUCACUGACUUCAAGAAUGAAGCCGUGGACCCUCGCGGAAAGAUAGAAUAGAAGCUACAAGAUCUGCAGUUAUGCUUCCUCUUACCCAAUUUACAGAUAAUAUAUGUUUGUGGCUGUGAUACACAGAAAAAUGGCAUCCAAGGAAAGUCCACCUCCUAAUCCUCAGAAGCUGUGAAUAUGUUACUUUAUAUGGCAAAAUGGACUCUGCAGAUGAGAUUAAGUUUCUGCCUGCCUGACAAUCACUCUGCUGAUGGCAACCAAAUAUUGUCUUCUUCCUGGAGUCUCAGGGAAAAUGUGGCCUGGGGCAGACCCUAGUUCUUCAGAUGGAAGGUGAAACUUCAAUACAUCACCGCAACAGGAAACAAUCUCAAGAAUUUGUAUUUACACAUCCUGGACAAAGAAAGUGUAAAUAAGUCUGGAAUGCAGUCAUCAGUUCCCAGGUCCUGGAAGGCAGGAGUCUGGAGUCAGGCAGAAAGAGAAAGCAGGCACAGUGACAACCAGCAGUACACUUAAGGAUUAGAGUGCAGAUUUUUCUAAGCUCCCAGGCCAAUGC